rnacentral:ncRNA from 1 species
GAACUCGGCAAUACGAAUCUUUUUUGGGCGAAAUGCAACUAGUUAAUAUGUAACAAAAUUAGGUAGUGGCACAGAAAGGGGGUUUGCGAAUGUUAAAAGUGACACAGGACUCUGCUAAAGCGUAAGAUGGCGUCUAUGGUCUAACAGUUGCCCGGUGCUGGAAGUUUAAUUGGAGAUGUUUACGCCUUAAGUGAAAGUCUCAGUAAACGGCGACAGUAACUCUGACUUCCUUAAUUAAGGUAGCGAAAUUUGUUAGCUCGUUACCUAAAUUCUGCCUUGGAUAUGGAUUCUUUUUACGAACAUGUAACGCCGACUACAAAUU